AUUGAACGCUGGCGGCAGGCCUAACACAUGCAAGUCGAGCGGAUGAAGGGAGCUUGCUCCUGGAUUCAGCGGCGGACGGGUGAGUAAUGCCUAGGAAUCUGCCUGGUAGUGGGGGAUAACGUCCGGAAACGGGCGCUAAUACCGCAUACGUCCUGAGGGAGAAAGUGGGGGAUCUUCGGACCUCACGCUAUCAGAUGAGCCUAGGUCGGAUUAGCUAGUUGGUUGGGUAAAGGCCUACCAAGCCGACGAUCCGUAACUGGUCUGAGAGGAUGAUCAGUCACACGGGAGCUGAGACACGGUCCAGACUCCUACGGGAGGCAGCAGUGGGGAAUAUUGGACAAUGGGCGAAAGCCUGAUCCAGCCAUGCCGAGUGUGUGAAGAAGGUCUUCGGAUUGUAAAGCACUUUAAGUUGGGAGGAAGGGCAGUAAGUUAAUACCUUGCUGUUUUGACGUUACCAACAGAAUAAGCACCGGCUAACUUCGUG
rnacentral:rRNA from 1 species